CUUUGUUGUGGGGGAUAAUAACCCGAAAAACUCCCUAUUACUACCUACUAUCUACGGGUGAAGGUGGGGGAUAUGAUUCCUCAUGCUUGGGAGCGGUGGAUAUCUGAUUAGCUAGUUGGUGGGGUAAAGGCCUACGCUGGCAUCGCUCACGAUCUGGUCUGGGAGGACGACCACGACCACUGGGACUGAGACUCGGACCAGACUCCUACUGCUAGCGGAGGUGGGGAAUUUUAGAUUGGGGCGCGGACCUGAUCCUGAACUGCCC
rnacentral:rRNA from 1 species